AUUCCCAUAAUGAGGGCACUUUCGUAAUAACUUUUCGUAUCUUUCCCAUGCCUCAUACAAGGACUCAUCAUCCAUUUGCUGGAAGACAGUGAUCUCAUUCCUUAACU
rnacentral:snoRNA from 1 species